rnacentral:snRNA from 1 species
GUGCUUGCUUCGGGAGCACAUAUACUAAAAUUAGAACGAUACAGAGAAGAUUAGCAUGGCCUCUGUGCAAGGAUGACACGCAAAUUCGUGAAGCAUUCCAUAUUAAA